AGCGAACGCUGGCGGCGCGCCUAAUACAUGCAAGUCGAGCGAGAAGACGUAGCAAUACGUUUGUAAAGCGGCGAACGGGUGAGGAAUACAUGGGGUAACCUACCCUCGAGUGGGGAAUAACUAGCCGAAAGGUUAGCUAAUACCGCAUACGACUCCUGGUCUGCGGAUCGGGAGGGAAAGCGAUACCGUGGGUAUCGCGCUCUUGGAUGGGCUCAUGUCCUAUCAGCUUGUUGGUGAGGUAAUGGCUCACCAAGGCUUCGACGGGUAGCUGGUCUGAGAGGACGAUCAGCCACACUGGCACUGCGACACGGGCCAGACUCCUACGGGAGGCAGCAGUAAGGAAUAUUGCGCAAUGGGCGACAGCCUGACGCAGCGACGCCGCGUGGGGAUGAAGGUCUUCGGAUUGUAAACCCCUUUACGGCAGGGAAGAUGGAACGGGUAACCGUUCGGACGGUAC
rnacentral:rRNA from 1 species